rnacentral:rRNA from 1 species
CCUACGGGCCGCACCAGUGGGGAAUAUUGCACAAUGGGCGCAAGCCUGAUGCAGCCAUGCCGCGUGUAUGAAGAAGGCCUUCGGGUUGUAAAGUACUUUCAGCGGGGAGGAAGGCGAUAAGGUUAAUAACCUUGUCGAUUGACGUUACCCGCAGAAGAAGCACCGGCUAACUCCGUGCCAGCAGCCGCGGUAAUACGGAGGGUGCAAGCGUUAAUCGGAAUUACUGGGCGUAAAGCGCACGCAGGCGGUCUGUCAAGCCGGAUGUGAAAUCCCCGGGCUCAACCUCGGAACAGCAUUUUGAACUGGCAGACUAGAGUCUUGUAGAGGGGGGUAGAAUUUCAGGUGUAGCGGUGAAAUGCGUAGAGAUCUGAAGGAAUACCGGUGGCGAAGGCGGCCCCCUGGACAAAGACUGACGCUCAGAUGCGAAAGCGUGGGGAGCAAACAGGAUUAGAUACCCUCGUAGUC